UUCAGAUUCUGUGGAUCAGGAAGCAGAAAUGCUCCCGAUGUCCCACUUUAUUCAUCAUAACUUGUUUCAAAACACAGUAUAAAUCAAGAGACAAGCUGUGAAUGUGUAUAGAGUAUGUGAAAAGGAAGGCAGGUAUUCUGGUCUGGCUGAGUGAAAGAUCACCGCGGGAAGUUGGUGAAGAUGAAGCUGGAAGAGAAAGAAGAAUUCUUCCUGUCAGGUUCAGUUUUUAGAUUCUCCUUUGCUGCAAGGAAUGCAAGGAAAAAGCUCCAGCAGAAAAACUGAAAGACAUCUCAGGGACG
rnacentral:lncRNA from 1 species